ACAAAAUCUGCAGAGAACACCGCACCAACAACUACCCCCAAGGAGACCUGCUUGUACAUCCGGUCGGGAUGGCGUGGGAGAGUGGAAGUGAUUAGAUCAGGGGUUAAAGAAGUUGUGUGAUCAUAUGUUGUUACAAAAAAUGUGAUUGGAACAUAAAUGGCAUACACUGUUGAAUUGGGCUGAACGGUUUAUAUAUGUCUAUCAGCUUCUAAUAAAAAAGUUUUCAUUAUGUGGGAAAUGUUAAUGUUGUAAUAUAUGCAUCAUUUGUGCUUGGUUCAA